CUCAUUUUGAGGAAAUGGGAAGUAUACCACAUCACCUCUGUGAUAGUUUUUCACAGAGUAUCUUGAGUAAUAUUCCAUUUCACAUUUUUUAAAAAAAUGUUUGAAACAUUGGGAAACAGACAAAUCCAAAUCUUUGUGGAACUUUGUACGUCAUAAUUGGCUUUGCCCUUUCAUAAAUUACAGUGUCACGAAAUAAGAAGGGGUAGAGGGAGGGACUCUCCUGUAUUAAAACACACUUAAAAAGACAUGACAACCAAAUGUAAGAUGUGAUCCUAAACUGGAUUCUGAAUUGAAAGGGUAAUACUUAUAAAUGAAAUGAGGGACAACUGGAUAAAUUUGAAUUUAUGUGCUUGACAUAUUGGGUAACAUAUCAGUUGUUGAAUUUCUUAGACAUUUUUCAUGAUGGGCUGGAGAUGCGUCUCUGGUAGAGCCCUAGCACUGAAAAAAAAAUGGCAUGAUGAUGGAAUUAUACUAAUGUAGAAUAAUGUCCUUGUUUUUAGAAGAUAUAUUAGGGUGAGUUUUCAGCAAAAACAAGAAAGUACACAUAAUUUGUAUACAAAAUAUACACACAUAUUUGUAUAUGGAUAAACUGAUAAGGGAGAUGUGGCAAACUGAUUAAAACUGGUAAAUCUAAGUGAAAGGUAUAUGAGUUUUGAUUAUAUUAUUUCUUUCUCUUUUCUAAAGGCAGAGCAGAGAUAGCCAGGGCUAACAAGCCUAACUCUCACGGAAAACAAC
rnacentral:lncRNA from 1 species